AGGGAGUCGAGUUCACAAAGAUCUUAUUACUUGACCUACAGCAAGUUGGAUUUUUCUCAGACAGUACUUCUCUAAAUCUUUUCACUCUUUAGGGCUUCUGAUUAGAUUAAGACUUGUUUUUUUUUCAUUCCAGUUAAUUAUGGAGGAAGAAAACUGAAGAAAGAAAAUUGUUUCAGUAUCUGGCAAAGAAGUGAAAACUGUGAAGAAAGAGAACCUGGUUCUGCUCUGAAACAUCAAGAAGUGUGGCAGGUGGCUAGGUGCUUAGGUAUGAGGUCCACUUUGAAUCAGCUGGACCCAGUGCAACAAGAAAUAAAAAGACAUCUGUGUCCUUUUGCUACUGAUAUAUGAGAAAUUAAUAACCCUUUUUUAUAGCACUGAACAAAUUCCAAAAUCAUCAUAGGUAUGUAACUUUCAUAUUCUCUAGUACAUAUGGUUAGUAGAGCAGGGAUUUAUUUUUCUUUUAUACAGAUGGGAACACUGAGGCUCAGAGAAGACACAUGAUUUUCCAGGUGGCAGAUGUUAUUGUUAGAUCCUUUCAGGAAUUAAUCCACAGUGGUGAAUGGAAAAGAAAUUUCUAUUUAACUUAAAAUUAAUGGGUAAGAAUGUCAUUCUAUAUAUUUCUUCUGAAGCAUUCUUAUAAUUCUGAAUUAUAAGAGUCUUUCCAGUCUUAGAGGAUGCCUAAAACAUCUCUUCUAUAUUGGGCUAUUACUACUUAAUUCAUUGUUUAUUUCAAACAAAAUAUGACAUCUUUAGUACACCUUGAUGUUUUUGUCCUUCUGCUCUUUUGUUUGCAAACUCUGACCUUUUGCUUCCUCCAACUUUCCUCCUCCCCAUCCACUCUGGAGGACAGCUAGGAGGUAAAUGCUGAAGCUGGCAAUGUGUGCUCACCUCCCAGGCUCUGCCUUCUCCCUCAUGAGCUGCAUGUGUAUAUUCCUCACAUGAAAAUUUGUCAGCAGGCAUUGUGAGUCCCAGUCCCCUGUACACCUCAAACCCUGCCUCUUGAAUUUGUGUCUGUGUUAGCCAUACUGUUGCCUGGGUGAUGCUUGCCUAUUGUGGUACACAGCUGAAGCAGGAUAUCUAUUCUUCUUUAACACUUCUCUGUCUUAUUUAGUGAAUUGCACCCAGUCUUGGCUGCUAGAAAAGUCGGAGUUUUGAAUGAGUUUCUUAUUAGCUUUCUUUUUUUUCCAUCUGUAUUUAGCUAUGUUAUAAAGUCCUUAUUUAUUUUUUUCUCUGGUUCAUUGCCUUUCUGUCUCCAUGUCUUUGGCUCUCUCAAUUUGGAUUUUUGUUUUCUUUAAUUUUUUUCCUAAAAUAAAGGAAUAUAUUUUUUUCCUACUCAUGUUCACAGACUCCUGAAAGAGUUUUUGGGGGUAUGCUGGAAAAGAAAUAACUUUGGAUCAAUCCACUGAACAAAACAUAGUAAGGUCUAUGACGGAGCACUAGCCAGCCUGAGGAUAUCCCAAGACUCACCACAGAGACAAUGUGUGAGCUAGGUCUUACAAGACAAGCAAGAAUUUGCCAGAUGAAUAAGGAGAAAAAUGAACGUUUCAAGAGAAGGAACAAUGUGAACAAUAGCAGAAAGGUGUGGAAACUUGUGGAACUGCAACACAGAGACAAUUAUUUGUAUUUCAUUAAUCCUGAUGCACAAAGUAAAGGGAGGAGUUGGGGGAGAUGAGUCUGCAGAGAAGGACACGAAUGUGCAUUGGAGAACGCUGUACGCAUUGCUGAGGAGCUUGGAUUUUAUUCAGUGAGCAACGGGGAGCCUCUGAAGAACUAUAAUGAGGGAAGUUACAUGGUCUGAAUUGUGUUUUCUGUUGAGUGCUCUGGCUGCACUAUGGAAGAUGGGUUUAGGUUGGUGGGAGACCUAAGUCUGUGCAGAGAUAAUUAGUAAUGAAAUGGGAACAUACCUUUUAGAAUGAGGACAUAGGAUAGCGCUAAGAAAUACUUAUGAUACUGUGGUAGAUUGGGUCGUAAGUCUCUAAUUCUUUGUGUUCUCCCUGUUUUGGAAUUACACGCCCACAGCAUUUGCCACGUGAGAUUGUCCCUUGCACUAGAGGCAGAGUAUAUUUCCCACCCCUUGUCUUUGGGCUUAAUUAUUUUCUUUGGACAAUGGGAUAUGAGUAGACUUGUUAUAAACAGAGGUUUGAUAUGUGAGUAUGCAAUUAACCCUCUUGAAUUUAUCACCACAAAACAUACUCUAGGUAGCUUCUAGUUCCAGGAGGAUGGGAAUACCUCUGAAUCUCAUACUUGGUCUGAGGCCAAACCCAGUUGCCUUGCAGUCUGAAGCAGAGCAUCCCUGAUAGGUCCAGCCUAAAUCAGCAGAAACACAGUCACCCCCUAGAACCAUACAAAUGAGAACAAAUGCCUACAGUGGCCAGCCACUGAGAUUUUCAGGUUGUUUUUUAUGUAAUACAAGGUGAUAAGUAGAGAUAUUAAGUUAGAAGUAUUCAGUAGUUGAAUGGAUAUAGAGUUUAGAAAAUGGGGAACCAGUGGAAGAGAUUCUCUAGGUUCUGAUUAGAGUAGUUGAGGAUAUAACAGUUCAAAAAAUGAGACAGAAUUAGUGGAAGAGAAACAGCUUUUGUGGCAGAAGUUAACGAGGUCACUAUGAGAUAUUUUGAGUUGGAACUCUUGGUGAAACAUUUACAUGAGAUGAUUUAACCUUCAGUUGUAUAUUUAAGUCAAGGUUUGAAAAGAAAUCAAGAUUGAAGUCAGAAAAGUGUAAGUCAUUAGGUUAUAGUGGGUAGCUAAUAUCAUGAAAGUUAUUAAGAUGGCUCAGGGAGAGGGAAUAGUGAAUAUAAAAUUGGGCCAAAGAAAAAACAGUGAUAACUCAAAGAAAGUCUUGAUAGAGUAGAAGGAAUCAAUAAAAGAUGCUGAGAAAAAAUUGUUUAUAGCUAGAUGGAGAAACACAGUAUUACAGAAAAUAAGAGAUAAGUGAGUUUUAAGAAGAGAUAGAACAAUAUUAUUGAAUAUGGCUAUAAUGGGCUGGUGUAGAGCCAAACUGCAAGUGGCAUGAUUUGAGAAGAAAAUCUUAUUUUUGUCAGAAACAUAUUCCUAAACUAGCAAUUGCAUCCAUAUAUCUCAACCACAAGCAGGCCUUUAUGUAAUGGAAUAGCAGAUUCGGGAGAUUAGUUACCUUUAUAUAAGUCUAUUUAUAAUGUUAUAAGCAAAAUUGAACAGAUUACUUUAAAACCCUACAUAUCAAAUAUUAAAGUAUUUCUUCAGACUCUUUACAUAAUUAAUAUCUGAUUCUUGAAACAACCAUGGAGGUAGGAGCAACCGAUGAAUUGCCAUUCAAACUCAAACUUCAAAUUUGGCUUCAAAUCCCAUUUCUUUAGCAACAUUACAUCAUAUAGAUUAUGGCUACGAAGUGGAAUACCAAUUAUGUGUGAGUGUGUUUCCAUGUCUCAGUAUCUAAUGAGCCCAUUUGAUCUAUGAGAAUCACUUUGGUUAUUACCGAAAGCAGACAAGAGCAUUUUAGCAGUAACUAUGCUUUAUUGCAUCUGUUAAGCAGAAAUGUAGGCAAUCUAGGAUCAAGGCAUGACAAAACGUGUUUCUAGCUCUGUUUUAAAGCCUUAUUAUGCUUUGCCUAAAUGUUUUAAAACAUUAUGUUCCAGCAAUGUUGGAUUUAAUUGAAAGCUGUCUUAUAAAAUUAAUUCAGUCAAAUGCAAUUGGUGAAAGUUGUUGAGAGACAGUGGUGUUCAUUUUUUCAAGUGCUGAAAUUCUGAUGGAGUUUGGGGCAGAGGAAAAAGAGUAAGACAAUCAGUAGGAAGACAAAUAUUUCCAUUUUCUUUUUAAAUAACUGGUUAUGAUAUGCAUUUUAGGGUCAUGUCCCACCACUCAGCAACAAUUAAUGCUAGAAUAUUGGUUAUGUUAGUGAAUAUGCUUCUUUCCACUUUUUUCCCAGAAUAUCUACAAAUUAUAUCAUUGACAAAUUGAGAU
rnacentral:lncRNA from 10 species